UAUCCAUUUUGUCUGGCCUUCCUCGUUCCAACGAUGGGACGAUGAGGAAACAAAAUGGCAUCCACCACAGAGCGAAUCAUAGAGAGCUAUGAUAUCUUCUUGAAAAAGUUGUUCAGGAACUGCGGCUUUAGAAGUUUUAGAUGAUCAACAACUCGGAGACACAGCAUUACACGUGUGUCUCCACUUGCAAAGAAGACAGAUCUUGAAGUCAUUGUGCAAAUAAUUUAAUUCCGAUCAAACAGCUAGGCAAAGAAGCUCUCGAUUAUAUUGCAUCAAUAAUGUGAAAUGUGUCGAUGCAUUGCGGAAGUUGAUUCAUCAUUGGUGAGAGCUCGUAAUGAUCAGGGCUGUGAGACCCCUUAUCUUUUUAUUGGAAGCGCUCUAUGGUAAAGAGGAAGCCGUCCUUCGUCUUCACGAAAUCUGUGGCACCGAGAAUGGCAAUGAAUAUUCCCUGAGGAAGCGAGGAUGGUGAUGCUAUUCUUCGUUGUGCCAUUGCUGAAGACUAUUUUACUAAUCAAAAUAGCUCCAGCAAUGGCACAGUGAAGAAUAGUGUCUCCAUCUUCCCUCGGAGAAGCGAGGACCAAGCUAUAGGAUGGGACUUGGCUUAUAAGAAAGCGACAGAAGCGUGAACAUUUUUAAUUUAGGGAGCCAAUAGAGAUACACAGAAAUCCCACACACUAAUUAGUUUUUUUUUUCCCCUCCAGAAAGUGAGUAGAAUGUCUGUUAUUGCCAUGCCAUCCUGUCUGUAGAGUCCCAUCAAGUCCCAUUUCACAAGUUUUCAUUCCCGCCCAACGUCCCUGCAAGUCUUCUUCAGCAACUCAACGUCGGCCAUGGGUAACUCUCUCUCUCUUUCUGUGACAUUCCAAGUUUUCCACUUCCAUUCUCUAGUUUCCCGUUUAUUUAUUUAUUUUUCUGUUUGUAAUCGCGGCAUCGUCUCUAACAUUGCCCGAAGUUACAGUCACUUUGAAGCCUUCGCCGGUAGGUAUACACAAGAUAGAAUGGGAACAAAAUUUUUUACACAUUCCUUUUACACGAAGGUGGGAAAUAUUAGCAAAAAUGGAAUUUUUACACAUUCUGUAUCUCAUAUCUGUACAAAACUGAAAUAUAGAGUUCUAAUUUGUUAUGCUUCCUUUGUUAUUUAUCAGCUUUUGUUGUCACCUUUACUUGCACCUUCCCAGUCGAGUUAUGGCCUUGCAUUUCUUUUUUUUUUUUUUUCUUUUUUAUUUAUUUAUUUUUAUGUUAUUGCCUUGUAUUUGUUUUCGAGUCUGAAGUAUGUAUUUGAGUUCUAGUCUACAGUGUGCUCUAGUCUGAAGUGCGUUUUAUGUCUUAAGUCUGAAGUGUGUUCUAGUAUGAAACCAUAUAAUACGAGUUUUUAAUUUCGGUUUUGUAUAGAACUGUUUUUUUGAGAGGCACAGUGGUUUAUAUGUUGUUUACAUUUGGGAGCCACGUCCGAAAUAUUGUUUUUGUUUGGAAGCCACCCAAUAUAAUGGUUUAUAUAUUUUUAUUAUUAUUUUAUUUUGUAACUAUAAUCAAGAUGGAAUCAUGUCGAUUGAUAUUUUCCGAAGAAGAACACGACAUUGAUGAUCCUGACUCUCCAAGAGACCAACAAAAACAAGCUGGAUCUCAGUAUUCCGGGAAUCGAAAAGUUGAAGAACCGAGGAUUGAUAUGAUAUUUGAAACUCAAGUAAAUGUUACUGAAUACUAUACAAAGUAAACAGGAAGGAUUUGGAGUGUCAAAAAGAAUAUCGGCUAGUGGGCAUGAUUCCAGUGCUGAAAGAAACUUAAUACUCUGCUUGUUGAUGGAGAGUGACAAAUUGUGUCAAAUCAAUAUUCCCAAUAGUAAUCCCUUUAUUUGCAGCUAGUAGAGGUGGUUGAGAGUGUAAGUGGUGUUUUUUCUAUUGAAUUAUAUUUACCAAUCUGCAUCACUUUUGUUUUUCUUUUUUUCUUUUUUCCUUUUUUUCAUUUCAGUUUUUUUAUGGUCUCUAUGUAAGAACUAAGAUGAGAAUGACGGUUUGGGGCUUAUGGUAGUUGGUGUUUUCUGUUUAGUAGUAUCGAGGCUGUAAGUGGGACUUUGUGAAACUAAUUCUUGGACCAUAUCCAUGCUGUAACUUAUAAAGAUCUAUUGUCUC